GCUUUCAAUCCCAACUUAAGAAGGUGGCAUAGCAUAUAUAUAGGUAACGGUUUCAGGCGAUUCAAGUUUAACAAGAGUUCAACCCAAUUAACAAGAGCAACAUGCACAUGUCGGCUACAGUUACAUGCAAAUGUUUUCGCAGGAGCUAAUCCAUAUUGCACAUCCGCUUCCCAGAGUUUCCGAUCA